rnacentral:rRNA from 1 species
UACGUAGGCAGCGAGCGUUUGUUCGGAGUUACUGGGCGUAAAGCGUGCGUAGGCGGCGGCCCAAGUCUGGUGUGAAAUCUCCCGGCUUAACCGGGAGGGUGCGCUAGAAACUGGGUUGCUGGAGUACCGGAGAGGCAGGCGGAAUUCCUGGUGUAGCGGUGAAAUGCGUAGAUAUCAGGAGGAACACCGGUGGUGUAGACGGCUUUCUGGACCGUAACUGACGCUGAGACACGAAAGCGUGGGUAGCAAACAGG